rnacentral:tRNA from 1 species
AAAGAAUUAGUUAAAAUAAAUAACCUUAAAUUGUCAAUUUAAAAUUAUUAUUCCCAAAAUAAUAUAAUAUUCUUUU